GUACAGGUACCUCUGUGGCAAUUGGCAGUCCAUAUGUCUCCAGGCUACAUAAACAAACCAAGUUUAGACUUCUAUUCAAAUACAGGAAUGAGAGCAAAUUUGGAUUAAAGUAGAGCAAAACUGUGUACUUACAGAUUUCUCUUCUCCCAAUGGACCGUGACAAACCGUUGACAUAAAUGAUAAAUGGUAAUUAAAUUUGGCAAAAUAUAACCAUCUGUUAUUUAUAGAUAACCACCAGGUGGCCAGUACUGUAAUUGGCAUUAGGAUUUCAGAGUGACUGAAUUAUAGAAGAUUUUAUGUUGCCUUAAGGUGAAUAAAAUCACGUCCACCUGCUUCAAGCAAACUGUUCCCAACAGGCAUAUCCUAUUUUUACAAUCCUCCGCAAAGGAUAAUUCUUAAUUUCUCCAGGCAGUGGUCAAUCAAUCUUAUGGCUACUAACUGACUUACUGUUUUGCAGUCUGACUUCCGCUUUUCCAAUCCUACAAGUCACCAUGGCUUCAUAAUUACCAGACCCAAGGGCCCUUUCUCAGUUUUUCUGUGCCAUAGUUGACAUUUUUCAUUCUUACCUUCUUGAAAAAUGCUCUCCUUUCUUCAGAUUUAAUGCUCUGAAAUUUUUGUCUUCACUGGCAGUUUGUCUUACUGCCUCUCAUUUUGGCUCUAAUUCUUUCUUCUGUCUCCACAAUGUGCACCAUAACAUCAAAAGAAUGGCUCUAAAAUGCCCAGCUCCAGCCCAGACCUCUCUCAUAGCUUUGGAGCCAGUUCUCUCUCAACCUAUAGACAGAAUCCUGGCAGACCUAUAGAAACCCAAAACUUGAUGUGCACACAACAUAUUUUAUCAUCUUCCCCCCAAAACCAGCUUCUCUUCUAGAUUGGCUUCCUUCUCUAAGGAUAGAACUAUACUUUCAAUCAUUCAAGCUUAAAAUCAAGGAGCCAUUUGAUUUCUUCCUUCUAGCACUGGCGUCAAAUCUACUGCCAAAUCCUGUAUCUUUACACUCACAUUCAUUUCUUCCUUUCCUUAUUCUACUUGCUAAAAUGCCACUCCAAGAUCUUAUUAAAGUUUUGAUCUAGCAUACUCUACUGGCUUUUUUAAGGGAGUUAUUCUGACUCAUAUCUCUUUCUGAUCCAAUGAGGUAAUGUAAUUUUUCUAAAGCCUAAUUCUCAUCUCAUUUACUACUUUGAUGGCCCCUUAUAGUUGUGUAAAACAAACAGUUUAUUCUAGCAUUCUAGCUUUUGAGGUCUCUCAUAUUGUGACUCAAACUGACCUUCUCAACUUUGUCUCACUUCUCUCAUUUACAUGCCCUGGACUGGUCUAUUUGUGUUCUCCAAUUCCAAUACUGUAAAGAAAUUCCUAGAUAUACCUAAUGCUAAAUGACGAGUUAAUGGGUGCAGCACACCAACAUGGCACAUGUAUACAUAUGUAACAAACCUGCACAUAGUGCACAUGUACCCUAAAACUUAAAGUAUAAUAAUAAUAAAAUUUAAAAAAAGAAAUUCUUGGGGAUACCUUAAAAUAUACAAGUGACAUACAAUAUGCACUCUAUAUAUAAUACAUAGUUUAUACUUUUACUUGGAAAUUUAUUUUCUGCCUGAUAUGAAAAUUGCCUAUGUCUUUGAAGACCUUCCUUCUCCCACUAUGUACUAUGGUCAGAGAAUUAUUUUUUAGUAAUUUUUUUUUGCUCACUGCAAAGCACACCACAUUGUCUUGAGAAUGGUAGGGACUGAAAGUUCUCUAAAAUUACUUAUCUCUGGCUAAAUGGAUUUUUUUUUCUACUACAGCUCAUCCCUCAAGUUGGAAUUAUCUAGUUUAAAAAGAUGCUCACUAUCAAGUGAUAAUAUUUUGGUUAAGGUAUCAUAAUUAUAUGAAACAUUUAGUAGGUAAACCUUGCUUUGAUCUAAGUAACAAGGUAUAUUUGUUUGGUUUGGCUUCAUUGGUUUGUGAAGGAGGAAAUGAACUAUUACUCACUAUUUGGUGAAUAAAAGCUAAGUUAAUCCAAUACAUGUUUUGCUAUUUUAUAACAUUUCCAUGGCUAGUGACUUUUAUUAGCGUGACCUCUGAAAUUUGAUUGACAAGAGGAACCAUUAAUGUGGAACAAUUCUGAAGUCGUGGAAUUAUUACCUGGAGCUGGUGGAAGUGAGGCUAGACAUUCUGUGUAAAAACAGGAACCUUAAGUUAGUCUCUGAAGUUACUGGAAUAGUAUUGGGGCAAGUAUAGUUAUCUAAUUCAUUAUUCUAUUGCUGAAAAUAAUUGUCUACAUAGCUAGUCUUACAAAUAGAUAUAUUCCCAUCUAUCCCCCCUUCCUGCUCCUCGCUGCAUUUGAAAUUCCACUGUACAGUGCUUCCUUUGGACCUCACAUUUUAAUGAGAGAAAAAUAUAAGUAUCAAAAGGAGAAAACAUCAAGGUAAACUCUUCAAAAAUUUUUUGAAGGCAGAUCUAAUGAAUAGAACAAUAAAAGAGAUUUAAAAAGGGAAAAAAAUAAUUCUGCUACAGUAUAAAAUGAGUAUUAUUAAUUACCCAGUUUUAGUCAUUUAAAAACUUUUAUUCUCCUUAUCUUCUUGAAAUACUUCAAUUUUGCUCUAACUUCUCCCCCAACAAAUGCUUUAAACUGGAAAUAUGUAUCUUUUUUAGCCUUUACACGUCACAUAUUUUGGUCAAUCGAACAAUUCCCUCAUAAAUUUCAAAUUCUUUUCCAAAACUUCUAAAAACAAAAUGAAUAUUGUAUUCA
rnacentral:lncRNA from 10 species